rnacentral:rRNA from 1 species
GACGAACGCUGGCGGCGUGCUUAACACAUGCAAGUCGAACGGAAAGGCCCUGCUUUUGUGGGGUGCUCGAGUGGCGAACGGGUGAGUAACACGUGAGUAACCUGCCCUUGACUUUGGGAUAACUUCAGGAAACUGGGGCUAAUGCCGGAUAGGAGCUCCUGCUGCAUGGUGGGGGUUGGAAAGUUUCGGCGGUUGGGGAUGGACUCGCGGCUUAUCAGCUUGUUGGUGGGGUAGUUGCUUACCAAGGCUUUGACGGGUAGCCGGCCUGAGAGGGUGACCGGCGACAUUGGUCCUGAGGGAGGGCCCAGUCGCCUACGGGAGGCAGCAGGGGGGAAUAUUGCACAGUGGGCGGAAGCGCGAUGCAGAAGCGCCGCGUGCGGGAUGACGGCUUUCGGGGUGGAAACCGCUUUCGCCUGUGACGAAGCGUGAGUGACGGUAAUGGGUAAAGAAGCACCGGCUAACUACGUG